rnacentral:rRNA from 1 species
UGGCCUUUUGGGGAUUUAUAUAAAAGGUUGGGCCUGCCCGGUGAUCUGAAAUGGUUUAACGGCUGCGAUUGAAACCGUACUAAGGUAGCAUAAUAAUUUGCCCUUUAAUUGGGGGAGAGAAUGAAUGGUUUGACGGUAAAAAAGCUGUUUUAAAAAUAAAAAAAGAAGUUAACUUUUAAGUGAAAAGGCUUAAGUUUUUAUAAAAGACGAGAAGACCCCGUCGAGCUUAAUUAGAAUAACUUAAAUGUAGGUUAUUUAAAAUUUUAUUGGGGCAAUAGAAAAUGAAAUGAAUCAUUUUUUUUAUUAUAAGGAUCCAGUUUUGACUGAAAAAAGCAAAAGCUACCGCGGGGAUAACAGGGUAAUUUUUUCUGAGAGUUCAUAUUUAAGAAGAAGUUUGCUACCUCGAUGUUGGAUUAGAAUUUCUUUAUGCUUGCAGCAGGUAUAAUAGUAGGACUGUUCGUCCUUUAAAAUUUUA